GACGAACGCUGGCGGCGUGCUUAACACAUGCAAGUCGAACGGAAAGGCCCUGCUUUUGUGGGGUGCUCGAGUGGCGAACGGGUGAGUAACACGUGAGUAACCUGCCCUUGACUUUGGGAUAACUUCAGGAAACUGGGGCUAAUACCGGAUAGGAGCUCCUGCUGCAUGGUGGGGGUUGGAAAGUUUCGGCGGUUGGGGAUGGACUCGCGGCUUAUCCGCUUGUUGGUGGGGUAGUGGCUUACCAAGGCUUUGACGGGUAGCCGGCCUGAGAGGGUGACCGGACACAUUGGGACUGAGAUACGGCCCAGACUCCUACGGGAGGCAGCAGUGGGGAAUAUUGCACAAUGGGAGGAAGCCUGAUGCAGCAACGCCGCGUGCGGGAUGACGGCCUUAGGGUUGUAAACCGCUUUCGCCUGUGACGAAGCGUGAGUGACGGUAAUGGGUAAAGAAGCACCGGCUAACUACGUG
rnacentral:rRNA from 1 species